GGGGGGGGGGGGGGGGGGGGGGGGGGGGGGGGAGUGGCGUUGUUCGCACUUUGAAGCUCAACUCAAAAUAUGGGAAUGUGAGACAAAUUGACAGAGCUUUGGCUGGGAAAGAUUUCGUUUAUUUUGGUUGAGAGUUUUUAGGGGUAUUUAUAGGAGCAGGGGGCCAAAAGAAGGUUUCUUCAUUUUUUUGGGUGGGUUCAUCCCCUUCCCUGGGCUGAUGUGACGGGCCUGUCAUGUCACUUACUUGAAGUUGGUAGUUUGAGAAGCGUUGCUUUUUGCAUAAGCUGCAUGCAACCUUUCUUCUAAUAGCGAUUGUCAGAUGACGCAAGCCUGCCUCAUCUUACCUUCUAUGUCCAGUCACUUUCUUUCCCAUCGGUGGCAUUAAGAAGGGUGAUCUUCAUUAGGUUGGUAGCCUGAUGUGCACCUCAUAUAGAGUGGCCUCCUUAAUAUUUGGUGUCUAUGAACAGAUUCUGCUUAAUGGAUUAUUUUGCAAGGCUUAGUGAACUUGCAUACAUGCUUCCUUCUUGGGGAUGGUGAGGCUUUAUGAUACUUGAGCACGUAGCCUUGGCUUAGGCCUCAUGCUCGUUGACAUCUUGCAUGUAAUGUUGCCAAAUUUUUAAUAUAAUCCAUAGUCUUUGGUUUCGUUCACAAUGCAUAGGUUGGCGUCAUCGCUCAAAAAGCUGAGUUGGGCCCCAUUACUGAAACUUGUGCAUCGGCCUCAUCAAUUAAAGCAAGGCUAGGCUCAAGGAUUCAUCACUUAGGCUAGGAAUCAUAAGGAUCAGCCUCAUCAUUGAGGCAUGAGCGUCAGCCUCAUCGCCUAAAGCAAUGCCUACACCAAGGCUUCAUCACUUAAGCUAAGACUCAUAAGGGUUGGGCUCAUCAUUGAGGGGUAGACUUCAUCCUCGAGGGAUAGGCCUCAUUCUUGAUAGGCUGGCUUUAUCCUUGAGGAGUCAGCCUCGUUCAUGAAUUGUCUACGUGGCUGUUGUGUGGCAUCGAUCCCCACGUUUAGGGCCCUUGUGAAUUUUGAGGCCCAUCAAUAUGA
rnacentral:lncRNA from 1 species